CGGAGGGUGCCAGCGUUGUCCGGAUUUAUUGGGUUUAAAGGGUGCGUAGGCGGCCCAAUAAGUCCGUGGUGAAAGCCAACAGCUCAACUGUUGAACUGCCAUGGAUACUGCUGGGCUUGAGUACAGACGAGGUAGGCGGAAUGGAUGCUGUAGCGGUGAAAUGCAUAGAUAGCAUCCAGAACCCCGAUUGCGUAGGCAGCUUACUAGGCUGUAACUGACGCUGAGGCACGAAAGCGUGGGGAGCGAACAGGAUUAGAUACCCUGGUAGUCCACGCUGUAAACGAUGAUUACUCGAUGUCGGCGAUAAACAGUCGGCGUCUUAGCGAAAGCGUUAAGUAAUCCACCUGGGGAGUACGCCCGCAAGGGUG
rnacentral:rRNA from 1 species